rnacentral:rRNA from 1 species
GGGGAAUUUUGGACAAUGGGCGCAAGCCUGAUCCAGCAAUGCCGCGUGCAGGAAGAAGGCCUUCGGGUUGUAAACUGCUUUUGUCAGGGAAGAAAUCCUCUAGGUUAAUACCCUUGGGGGGAUGACGGUACCUGAAGAAUAAGCACCGGCUAACUACGUGCCAGCAGCCGCGGUAAUACGUAGGGUGCAAGCGUUAAUCGGAAUUACUGGGCGUAAAGCGUGCGCAGGCGGCUUUGCAAGACAGAUGUGAAAUCCCCGGGCUCAACCUGGGAACUGCAUUUGUGACUGCAAGGCUAGAGUACGGUAGAGGGGGAUGGAAUUCCGCGUGUAGCAGUGAAAUGCGUAGAUAUGCGGAGGAACACCAAUGGCGAAGGCAAUCCCCUGGACCUGUACUGACGCUCAUGCACGAAAGCGUGGGGAGCAAAC